rnacentral:rRNA from 1 species
CCUACGGGAGGCUGCAGUGGGGAAUAUUGCACAAUGGGCGCAAGCCUGAUGCAGCCAUGCCGCGUGUGUGAAGAAGGCCUUCGGGUUGUAAAGCACUUUCAGCGGGGAGGAAGGCGUUAAGGUUAAUAACCUUGGCGAUUGACGUUACCCGCAGAAGAAGCACCGGCUAACUCCGUGCCAGCAGCCGCGGUAAUACGGAGGGUGCAAGCGUUAAUCGGAAUUACUGGGCGUAAAGCGCACGCAGGCGGUCCGUCAAGUCGGAUGUGAAAUCCCCGGGCUCAACCUGGGAACUGCAUUCGAAACUGGCAGGCUAGAGUCUUGUAGAGGGGGGUAGAAUUCCAAGUGUAGCGGUGAAAUGCGUAGAGAUCUGGAGGAAUACCGGUGGCGAAGGCGGCCCCCCGGACAAAGACUGACGCUCAGGUGCGAAAGCGUGGGGAGCAAACAGGAUUAGAUACCCUUGUAGUC